rnacentral:misc_RNA from 1 species
CAAAACGGGAGCAGGCAGCGCAGAGGAAGAAGAGGAAGUAGAGAGUGGAAGCACACUCAACCACACCCACACACACCCACACACGAGCGCGCACAAGGACAAGGUCGCUCGCUCUCUCCGUGUGUGUGUACUUCAGCUCUAACCCACCUCGUACUUGGCACAACAGAGCUCUCGUUGCCUCUCUUCCCAUGUGUCAUCAUCGCGUGCUGCAGUAAAGUACAGGUUUCAUCAGCCGAGUACCGCCGCAAAAAGAAAACUAGCAGCAGGGCGCGUCAACAUAUCUGCGCAGACGGCGUAGGCGCAGUGAGCCGAGGCCAUACCGCGCGUGCGUGUCGUUGCUUGCGUUCCUGUUCCCUGCCAGCGGCCCGCCUUCAUCAUCUCCGCCCUUCCCUUUCUCUCUCUCGGUGCACAGGUAUUUGCCCCGUGUGUGUGUGUGUGUGUGUGUCCGCCCUACUGCCUACCCGCCGCGAAUGUUCACUGAGACACAGCCGAAGGAGGUUGUGCUGCGGGACGUGCGCCACGCGCCGGCGUCCUCGGAGAAGGUCGCCGGCAUUGGAUGUGUUGCUGCAGCAGCGGUGCGCCAAGUUGAAUCGAGCGGAUUGAAGAAGGGUAGGCGCGGCGGCGGAGCCCUUCCACCGAUACACGCAAAGGCAGCGUCGACGAGCGAGACGGCCGCUGCACCACACUUGCGGAAACAGCGACCGCUGUCUGGCCGCCAAGAGCCGCAGCAGGGGCCCGAAUCGGAUGGGCAGGCCUUCCCUGUGGCGGUUCUGGCGAUAGGCGACCUGCCUGGCCGGCGCCCCUCUGCCGCUUUCAGCGUCACCGCCACUUCGAGGAGAGACGAUGAACCUCGCUCCUCUCGCAGUCCAGCGCCUCGGCGGCCCCCGUCUACAGGUCGCUCCCCAGCGCGCCACCGCAGCAUGCAAGCUUCGCCACCUCGGCAGGCACGUCAGCACAGCGCCAGCGUGAGCGACGCGAACGCCAUCUCUGCGCGGGCAGGCAGCAUUGGCAGGAUGGAGGGACGACAUCUCAGCGGUCAGGCCCCGCGACGGACGGGGCUCAAGUCAUUGAAGCUGCGGGUGGAGAGCGAAGAGGCGGCCGUCGGGCAGCUGAUGCAGGCUGGAAACAUCGGCGGAGCGCUGAUGCGGCUGAGCUGCACGCUGCAGAGCGUGCAGGACUAUCAUGCAGCGUCGAAUACUCGGAGCAGCCGACGCGGCGCUGUCGGCAGCACUGCGUCGGCGCACACCUCCGAGGCUGCACCACAACUGGGUGGCACCGGCGCCGCGUGGGCGGCUACGACAGCCCAGCGACUUGCUGAGGUCUACACCACCAUUGCAAACAAUGCUGGCGUGCAGUGCAACACAGCAGCCGAGCCGAUCCACGUGCAGGAGGCUUACUUCCAAGCCGCAAUGCGCUACGUGGUGAAGAGCUCCACAGAGGACCUGUUCUCUGAGUGGACGGCGGAGGGCGCCGCCGCGACGAGCGAGAAACCGUUGCCCCAUCCCCCGCCGCAGCAGCGACCCCGCCGCUACCCGGUAAGGUCGGCAGCGCGGCCUCCAGCGCGCGAGCUCUCAUCGUGUUUCCCGUCAAGCCGUCCGGGCAAGAGCAAGGAUGGCGACCAGCAGCAGCCGCAGCAACCCGCGAUCGUCCGUCGCCUGCUCCGCUGCGCUGUUCGCACUAAUGCUGCUGUGUGCCUCGGCGACAGUGCCACGCCGGGGGGACAGGCCCGCAUUAUCUAUGAACUACUGAAAGCGCUGGCGGAGUCAGUGGGCGUGUGGAGCAUGGCGUUGCUGUACAACUUGGCGGUGGCAUUUCUUCGGGUCGGCAGCUAUGACGAAGCCGCAGAGGCGAUUGCGCGGUUCAUGGAGGUGAGCUGGCACUACCUUGAGUGGGCUGAGCACUUGCAGGGCACUGACGACGGCGGCAGCGUUGCUAGCGUUGCCGCGGCUGUGCACACGCACGCGGCGCUACAGCUAAUCCACGGGCACCACUUCAUCGCUGCAAUGGCGGCCUGGUGUGAGCCGCACGGCCCUAUGGAGGUGUACCACUGCGAACUUGCCAGCGCCUGUGCAGAGCACUAUCUGAGCCGUUCCGAUAGGGCUCAGUGGAGGUGCCAGCGCCGUCUCGCCGCAGCUCAGGCGAGGGCCACUACGGGCGUCGGCACCACAGAGACACACACGAUGACCGCUGCGGAUGGACUUCCAUCGCCGCUGAUGCUGCCGUAUGUGACACAGGACCUGAUUCUCUCUUGCCCCUCAUCCACAACGGCAGCGGUGACGGGUGAUGUCGGGCCCAUCACUGUCACGAUGCACCUGCUCGUUGAGGCACUCGUUACCUCUUCUUCGCUCAGCGCGUCGCUGCCGGCGGAGGUGAGAGCGUACGUGCGGGAGGUGCAAAAGGGUGGAUCCAUGCGGUACUGGGCACGCAUGGCUCUGCGCGCCGGUGCGUCGCCGCCGUUCUUGUCAGCGGCAGUAGCCGCCUCAACUGCCACACCGGUGCCGCCGGUCCUGACGGCGCUUCUGAGCCACGGCGAAGAGGGCGAGUGUGUGUGGGCACGGCAGUCCUGGCUGCAAUCGCUGGCUCGCAGGGGCGUUGAGAACGACGCCUCUAACCCACUAUGGCGACUGACGUCCGCCGCAAUAACGGCAUUGGCAAGUCGCGCCUCGGCUGUUGCUUCGUCAUCAUGUCGUGACGUCGCUCCUGGCAAGGAGGCGGAUGCCUCCACCUCCCUCAUCACAACAGCCCCACCGACGCCGCAUCAUGAGCACGGCGUUUCAUUGGGUGCGACAAGUCCUUGCAAGCUGAGCAAGCCGGCACCGCUUUUCGUCACGACGCUCCCCAAGAGCGCCUACAACCGGUACCGCAAGCUCCGCGAGGGCAUUGUCGCUCAGCUGGAGAAUGCAGAGCAGACGGAGCAGCGGGAGGCUGGUGUGUUCGAGGCAGCGGGACCACUUUCCGUGGAUGGUGACGAUGAAAGCGCGGUGCGCGCCGAAAGCGCCAACUCUCGCUCCACGGCCGCUUCAAAGAUCUUGCCGGCAGAUGCAGCGGCUGCGCAGUCACGCAGGCUACUCAUGACGGCUCUCUUCGUCGGCGCAUCGAGCACCGUCACCUCUCCGGCGGCGUCGUUGUCGCGUGAGGGCCAAGGCGGCGAUGCUACCGGUGCCUUUGGCCUCCUGGAGGAAGAGGCGACAGAGCACCACGACGCGAGGGGCGUCGUCACCGCUAUCGUGCUCGAUCCUACGCUGCUGGCUGUACCUGUCCGACCUUCGGAGCUGCUGCGGCAGCUCGACUUGGAAACGGAGGCACGCUACUCUCGUCUCGUUGCGGACCCCCUCGCAGACUUGCAGCGGGUCGCCUCAACGCGCGUGCAGGCAUGGUGGCGGAUGCAGCUCGCACGGGAGGCGCUGCGCCGGCGUGCGGCGGACGUCGAGAUGUGUCUUCGCCGCGACGCCGCGGCCGCCCUGAUUCAGACAGGUUAUCGGCACUGGAAGGAACGCACGCCUGCCAAGGCGGAGCUGCAUCGCCUGCGCGCUCAUCGAGAGCGAGUGCGCUGCGUCACCAUUCUCCAAGCCUUCGUGCAGCAACGCGCCAGUGUGGAGGUGUGGGGGCGCGUCUGCUUGGUGUGGUACCAGGCCCUCGUAGUGCAGCGGGAGAUCGAGAGGCGGCGCGCGGCUGCUACCAUCACUCUCCAGAGCUGGUGGCAGAUGCACAUGGCCCGCAGGCAGCUGCGCCACUCGGUGGCGGCCGCCAUUCGCCUUCAGUGCUUGUGGCGCUGCAAACUGGCACGGCGUGAGCUGCGCACGCGCCGCGUGCACCGCCGCCUCAUGCAGGAGCAGUGGCGAAGGGAGCGAGUGCCGCAGAUUAUUUUUGUGCAGCGUUGGUGGCGCGCCUGUUGCGCUCGCUGGGCAGUAGGCGACCUGCUCUGCCAGAGGCAGCAUGCCGUGGAGGAGUACCUGACGGCGCAGGAGUCCGAAUACGAGGCAGUCAUGCGCACGAAGCUUCGAAGUGUGGAUAACGUUGAGGCGGCCAUGCGCUGCGUGUUGGCAGUGCUGGCCGGCUCACGAGACCGCCGCCAACUCGCUCAGUUCGCUAUGCACGCACGAGUGCGGCAGCGUGCCGUGCACAGGUUUGUGCUCCUGUGGCGCGGCCGAGAAGAGUUGCAGCAGCUGCGCCGCGACCGGGCUGCGGGGCUGGCUCUGCAGAGGCGACGGGAGGAGGUCGCGGUGGCGACGGUGGCCCUGCAGUCGUGGGUGCGCUCGUGGCUACCGCACCGCCGUGCAACACGGGUGCGCGCUAACAGGGCCUACUUGCAGGCGCACGCGUUCACGAUUUGGGAUGCGUUUCGCCACUACCGUGCGCGACAAGCCCUGGUGAACGGACGAACGGAGCGCCGCAUGCUUGGCGUGGCUCGCCGUCUUGCGGAUGCGCGAAAUGACGCCGCAACGCGCAUUCAAUCCACGUGGCGCAUGCACCGCACGCAGCAGGAGCUGUUCGACCUCUUCCAGUUUAUGCUCCGGGACCGACACAAGUAUGCGACAGCGGUGCAGUGCCGCUGGAGAGGGCACUAUGCGCGAGCGGUGCUUGCCCCUCAGCGAAAGGCGCGCGCCACGGAGCGCGAGGCCUGCUUGCAGCAUCGUGCAGUCCUUCAUUGCGCCGCCACCCGGGUGCAGUCUCUCUACCGCAUGUACCGCGUUCGAAUCCAGCUGCUGCGGCUUGGCGUGCUGCUGCGGCCAACCUCAAUGCACCGCAUCGCUGCCGCUCGCCGCAUCCAGACGUGCUGGCGCGCCUGCGCUGCCCACCGGCGCGUAUUGCGGCUUCGCCUGCAGCGCAGCUACUCGCUCAAGCUGGCGCAAUCGCAGGAGGCGCUGCACGCCUACGCUACGCUCAUCCAAGGCGUUGUUCGAUCGUACCUCGUGCGCUGUGGCCGAGUGCCUCAACCUAAGCCGGCACCCGAGGCGCUCGCGCCUGUUGCGACGGUCACCAAACUGCUCAUUCCGCCGCCUCCUUCCAUCCAUGGCGCUUGUGCGGCUGCUGCGUCUCGCCCGACCCCACUCCACAGAGUUCCCUCCACCGAACAUAAUAUCGAGACUGCGCCGGUGUCGCCGUUGCUCACGAGGGCGCCAGUUACCGUCGAGCAGACCGUCGCCACGUUCAUCUACAGCAGCAACGGCGCCUCUGCAGUGGUGCGCAUCCAUCAAUGCGACUUUGAUGGCAGAUCCUCUGUCCACUCGCUCGUCUCCGCCGACCCCCUCAGUUUGCGCACCACGUCUAUGACGAAGAGUCGCUGCAACUCAGCCUCCCUCUCCCGCCUUACCAGCACCCCGGAUAAGCCGCUUAACUUGCUGCAGAGCGUCAGCACCGACGUCGUCGGGUCGCUGCGCAGCACACGGCUCCCGCCCUCCUGCCCACACGAAAGGGCGGCGGUAGACUCACAUCAGGUAGUAGGGUUAUCGUGCGAGACGGAACACUUGCCCGCCUCGACGAAGGACUCCGUCGCCCAAACCUCCGCCUAUUUGGCCGAUGCAAAGGCGUACCCGCAGACCACGACGGGGCUUUCCUCGGCACAGAGCAGUAUCGUCUGUUCCUUGCUCUGCCACCACACUCUGCAUGAGGUUGAGGCUGCGGUGCGCAUUCAAGCUUUAUGGCGCGGCUACCAUGUGCGUUGCACCAUCGAGUUCUACUACGAAGAGUACUCCGAAGAGAUCGAAGAGGAGGAGACUAAGGAGGACAACUAGUCCACCAGCACUGUGUUGCUGAGCGACAGCAGAGAGCGGACGGAACGUCGUUCGUGAUCACUGAUGCACACAGGCGUCUUCCCCUCCCCCAGUGACCUUCUCGUCUUUCUCUCUCUCGUGCGUGUGUGUCCCGGUCUGCGGGUCGAUAUGUAUGUGUGUAUGUGUAUCUCUCUGCCAGCAUGGCGUCUUUGAGCACGUGUUCGCCUUGUUCCUUGAUGGCUGUCGUGCCUGGAAUCUCGAUGUAGACUAGCAGGGUUGAGGGGCGGAGUUGUGUGGCGCCGCCAAGGGCGGCAACUCUGCCCCUCUGCUCCAUCUCCCUCUCUCUUUCUCAUGUCCUCCACGGCGCCUGCACCCCCUUGUACACCUUUUUUGUUAGCUCCUCCAUGUCCGUAUCCUGGUGAGGUGCCGCCGCCACGUGUGUGGUGGCAUGUGCUGUUCCCCCUCUCUCUGGAUGAGCACAUACGCGCACGUGCAUACACGCGUGCAUACAUACAGACAUGUACACUCCCUGUUCUCGCCCCCCCUCCUCCGCGCCACUCUCGAGUUCUUGUCUGUUUAAGUUCUACUCGGAUGGGAUGCGUGCAUCUCCUACGCG